GAUGAACGCUAGCGGCAGGCUUAAUACAUGCAAGGCGAAGGGGCAGCAAUGUCACUGUCGUACGGGUGCGUAACGCGUAUGCAACCUAACUAUCACUGGGGGAUAGCCCGGGGAAACCCGGAUUAAUACCGCAUAAAACAGGGGCACCGCAUGGUGAUAUUUGUUAAAGAUCUAUUGGUGAUAGAUGGGCAUGCGUUCGAUUAGGUAGUUGGCGGGGUAACGGCCCACCAAGGCGACGAUCGAUAGGGGAGCUGAGAGGUUGAUCCCCCACUCGGGCACUGAGGUACGGGGCAGAAGACUACGGGAGGCAGCAGUAGGGAAUAUUGGGCAAGGGAUGCAAGUCUGACCCAGCCAUGCAGCGUGACGGAUGCAGGCCCUCAGGGUUGUAAACGGCUUUUAUUCGUGAAGAAGAGCAGGGAUGCGUCCGUGUGUGACGGUACGGAAUGAAUAAGCACCGGCUAACUCCGUGCCAGCCGCUGCUGUAAAAC
rnacentral:rRNA from 1 species